rnacentral:lncRNA from 1 species
AUAAACUCUUCCUUUGCAGUAUGCGAUAUAAUUGUGGAUCAGAAAAUUGCUUUCCAACUCCAGCCACCGUUGAAAAAUCAAAUGAUGCGACUACUUGAACAUGAAUUUUACUAGUUGAUUUUGGACAUAUCUUGAGCUCCCAUUAAUACACCACCAGCAAAAAAUAUCCCUCGAGAGAAAGAGCCUACGCUUGACUAACCGAUUAAAACACAAUUAUGUAAUUUAUCGUUGAAGUAAGCAUGUUGUAUUGUAAAGGGAGAAAAUCUACGAUACCAUGGUCAACGAUGCCGAUGUAGUCCAUGCAUAGAUAUCUUGAACCAUGCAAAGAUUUUUAUCGUGCGCUCUUCGAAGUAGAGAUCCCCUCUGGGCUGCCAUACGUUCAGUCUGUUGGAUACUUGCUGUUCUGCGAUACGAAGGGGAUGAAGAGCUGGGAAUACCUUGCUCUUCACGGCUGGCUAUGCCCUACAUCUGCGAUUCUCGAUUCGGGCACCAUGAAGUUGGUCGAUCGGGAGCUCGUAGCUUUUCUAAACCACUGUAUAAACGCCAGUUUUUUCCAGCUUUGAGUCGAGUCAAGAAACCCUAGCGUCCCGGGGAAUUUGCAGGCCGGCACCCAGACGAGUGCUCCGAUUCCUGGUCGGCAGAGCGGUGAAUCGCGAGCACACUGGAGCAGAUGGAAAUCAGACGGUCACCCAUCCAUGGGCUCGAAGAAUAUCGUCGAUGGAAGUGAAGAGGUUGUGAGAUCAUCAACUCCAUCGCCAACAGACCUGAAACCUUCUAUCCGCAGAGCUGAUCACGCAAAAGAAUUGGAGUGUAAGGGAGCAGGAGCUCGAGCAGCGAUCAAAGAGCGUCACCCCACAUAUUGAAAUGAAUCCUUUGGGACUCUGCCGCGGUCCAUUUCUCUUAGCUGCAUGGAGAAGCAGCAGCUUCCCCCCACCCACUCCCCGCCGGAGCCUGGCGGCGGUCAUUUAUACUGCCGCCCCU